CCAACAUUAAAAAUUUAAAACACAAACAUUUAGUCUCUCGAACUUACCGGAACGUGGGAGUCACGCGCGCUUCUCUUGGCGUCGGUGGCGGAGAAGACGGUGUAGACAAGGACGAAGGUUCCGAUGAUCUCCGCUCCGAGGCCGGAUCCUUUGGAGUAGCCGGGAGCGACGGUGUUGGCUCCGCCGCCGAGGGUUUGGUAGGGAGUAGGCUGGAAGCCUUUGACAACACCGGCGCCGCAGACGGCACCGAGGCAUUGCAUGACGAUGUAGAGGACAGCUCUGGUCAGUGAAAGUUUCCGAGCUAAGAACAGACCGAAAGUCACCGCUGGGUUUAUGUGUCCACCAGAGAUUCCGGCAGUGCAGUAGACGAGGGCAAAGAUCAUGCCACCGAAAGCCCAAGCUAUGCCUUGGAUUCCAACGGAGGCACACAUGUUUGGUGCUCUCUUCACUCCCAUCACUGUCAAUACUGUGAUGUAAAGGAAGAGGAAGGUAGCUAUGAACUCUGCUAUACCGGCUCUCCAGAACGACCACGAGCUCAGCUCCCCUGGCUCGAACAGCGGCGCUGGUGGUGGCUCCUUGUAGUCCUUGUCCGUCUGAGCCGAUGUCCCGAUGGGCUGCCUCUCUGGGAACUUGUUCGCUCCCACUCUCACAUCCUCUUCUUUCCCUUCCAUUUUUUCUCUUUUCCCUCUCUUUCUAGAAGAACGUUAAAGUUAUGCGAUGGAUAGUGAGUGAAUGGCUGAGAAGGAGAGAAAGGGUGUGGUUUUAUAAAGAAGAGAGAGAAGACGGCCUAACGUCUCGAAAACACUAAUUUCUUCUUCUUCUUUUUCUUUUCUUUUUUUCUUUUAGUGAAAGAAGAAACAUACAGGGAAUCAUUCCUGGAUAACGAUGAUCUUUAAACUGUUUUUAAUUCACGACAUUAGCUGUUGUGAUAGGGACAUUAUGGCUUUUAAUCAUGUAACAAAACCCCACGCUACUGUUUUUAUAUUCUGAAACUCCAAAACACCACUAGCAUGUUUUGUGAGCUGAUUUAUCAUUUUUUUCUAACUUAUAAUGACCGGCAAUUGUUAAUUCAUUUUUGUAAUGAACCGAAGCAGCUUAAGCAACCCUUUAAGCUACCUGGUUAAAGGUGCUCUUAGUUUCGUGAAUCGUAAUUGUGAAGCACAACUUAACUAUUAUAGUAUUAUCGUAUAGGUUAAAUUAUAAGCAAUCAUGCAGACGAUUGGUCCUCUGAGCUGUCUUUAUUUCUUGAUGGUUUUACCAACGAAGAAAGCGGGACCUAAUUUAUCUUCUCUUACAGACCUAAGCUCACUGUUAAAAUGUAAAAUGUUUUGGCAGAAAUAAGCUGUAAAAGUGGAAUAGUAACUUUUGACUAGCACGACGAUAUAAAAUUUACUUCCGACCGUUGGAGAAAGAAAGGGAAGAUUUGUGUGGAAGGAAAGUGACUGCUUUAUGUAGAAAGCACAGUCGUCUGGACUAUUGUGCCAGGCCUCGAAUAAAGUUUAGCCAGGUAUUAUUACCUGUACUAACGACAAAAUAAUAUAAUUUGUAAAUCAGAUGUUCUUUUAUUCAAAGCUCAUUAGUAGAUUAAAGGUCCUAGGGAAUGAAGAAAGAAAAAGGGUAGUAAGAAAAUUAAAGGGGUAGUGAGAAUAAAAUGUUAGGAAGUAGGGCAUUUUAGAUUAUUUUUUUGGUUAAUAAAAAAAAUAGAAGGGACAGAAGAAAGAGAAGAGGUAGUGAAAAAAUUAAGGGGUAUUGAAAAUAAAAUGUUAAGAAAUAGGAUGUUUUAGAUUAAUUUUUUGGUUAAUAGAAAGAAGAAAUAGAGUUAAUUAGUUAGGAAAAAGGAAGUGGGAUCCAGACAAGAGUAGUGCAAAAAUUAAGGGGUAGUGAGAAUAAAUUGUUAGGAAGUAGGGUGUUUUAGAUUAGUUUUUUGGUUAAUAUAAAAAAAAGAAGAGUUAAUUAGUUUUCCUAUUUAAAGAGGUAGAGAGCACAUAUGUAAAGAUUGAACAGCUCAGAAAUGUAUUUUGCUUUUCUGUGAUCACAUGAUGCUUCUCUACUCCCACUUUCUUUCUUUAUCUCUUUUUUGUUAAAGUUCUUUAUUUUUCGCUUCUCAGUCCUUUUUUGUUUGUUUGUUUGUCAACUGUUACUGAUUUAUAUAGUAAUAACUAGGGUCGGCCCGCCCUACGGGCGGGACUUUUAUUAUACUUUUUAAUAUUUGUUUAAAUUUUUAAAUGUUUAGUUUAAUAAUAUAUAUUAAUCAUUAAUAUUAUUUAUGUAGUUUUUGUGUUAAUAUUCAGCUUCCCUUUUUUUCUUGACUAACUUUUUUUAGGUUUCUUGAAAUUGUAUAAAUGAAACUAUAUUUUAUUUUUCUUACAUCGAUGCAUAUUUCUAAUAUAUUUUAAAAGUCUUUACGAUUUUAAAUAUAACUAAUAACUUUUCAUUAUGUUAACAAUUUUGAAUAUAACUAAUAAUUUAUAAAUACAAAAUAUUUUAAUUUCUCUUAAAAAUAAUAAUUAUGCUAUAAAAAUAUAUCUUUAUUUAUUAUAAUAAUGUAUAAAUAAUUUUAAAAUUUAUUUAUUAUUUACUUUUGUUAUUUUUAUUUAAAAAUAUAUGUUUACCUAAAUAAAAACAUUUUAUUAUGUCAUUAUUUUACAUUUUUCAAUACUGGUAGUGAGAUUUAACAUAUGAGUUUUUUUUUUAUGUUUUAUAUAUUAAUAUUUAUUUUAUUUCUUACUCUCUUUGAAAUCUAUUUCUAAUUAUGUAAAACAGUAAACUUUACCUAGUAUGGAUCCAAUCGGACUACUUGACCGGUUCAUGGUUGUACCAACUAUAAACGUUCUAGGAUCGAUCCGCGCUUAGCACAUAAUAUAACUUACGUAUGAUUUGUAUGACAAUUUUAUUGUGUAUUUUGAUUGCAUGUGUUUUGUGUCAGCAUUUGCAACAGAAAUGUAUUAGAAUGUUUAUAGUUGUUAAGAAUCUUUAGGUGUGGAGAGAUUAUGUAGAUUAAAUUUAUUACAUUUUAUUUUAAUGUUUGUGUUUAGAAGUCGUUGCGUAUAAUAUAUUAUUUUUGUGGAUAUAUUGUGUUACAUAUAUUUUUCAAAUUAAAAUACAACUAUUUUAAUCGAAUUUAACCAAAUCGAACUAAUUGUAUUCAUUGUAUUAGUGUGAGUAUUCAUCUUAAAUGUGUAAGUACACAUUUGAUUUUAAAAACAAUUUGGUAUAUGUUAAUUUGUAAAACUAAAAUUAGAAUAAAAAAAGAUGAUCGGUACAAAGUAGCAUAAAAACAUAAUUGAUAAAAAAAAUUAUUAUUUAUUUACUUUAACGCCAAGAUUAUUUUCUUAAUUUUUUUACGAAAUCACAUUAAUAUAUAAAAGUAUUUAUGUUAAAUUUUAUGAAUUAUUUUAUUAUAAAAUUGACUUCAAAAAUAUAAAAAGGAAACUUAAGUAGAAAAAAAUAAUAUUGAUUAUUCAUUGAAUAUUAUUUUCUGUUAUUUAAACUAUUUUCUAAUAAUUAUAAAAAAAAGAUUUUAAAAUAAAAUGUUUAUUACUUUAAAAUAUAUUAUUUUUAGAUUAUUUUCUUAAAUGGAAGAUUAUUAAUUUAAUUUAAAAUAAAAUAUUAUUUUGUAAAUUUUCCUUUUUAUGAAUCAUAUUAUAUUUAAAAUAUAUUUUCGUUUUAAAACAUUAUAAAUGUUAUACCGAAAGGAAGCCAAAGGUAAAUGAUUAUGGCGUUUAACGGCGUAGGGCGUUGGACUAGACGGCCGUCGUGGAAGAUUAUACGGUUCUUGAGACGUUCUAUGGGGACUGUUGUGGCUGAUUUGGACUCAGGCACCAUGUAACCUUCCUGUUACAAGAGAAAAGCAAGUCGUUACCAAUCAUGUAGUAAAAGAUUCCAAAGUUAUACAAUUAUAGUAAGAAAGCUCGUAAAUUACUGAAAGUUUCAGUGGUUAGGAGAAAAAGAAAGAAAGGAAUGUUGAAAUAUGGGUUCGGUCAUUAAAUGGGACCAUCCAACUUAUGUGGGGGAAGGUAGUUGGGGGUAGGUAGGAAGCAUUUAUGAAAAUCACUACUACUAUUCUAUUCUGUUAUCUACUUCUUUUUUUGUCACUGGAAACUUAUUACGUUCCUUUCUUGAAUUUCAAAUAAUAAAACUACUCAAUCUAGAUAUUUCAUGCGUGUUUUUAUUAUACAUACAUACACAUACAAAUAAUUUGGACGUAAAAAAAAGUGAAUAGAUCAUGUGAAGGCAUGUGAACACGCAACACGGCAUUAAAUAGGUCCUACUGCAUUUAUGUGUAGUUUUCAAGUACUUACUUCUUUGAUUACGAAAUGUUUCAAAGUAUCAGACGUUUAUGCACUCGAUUUUCACCUAAACCGGGGUUCUUAAAAAUUCAAGAAACUUAAACGUAUAUGUUUAUAGUACCUUGCAAAUGGACAUGAAAUCAUGAUCGGAGGUGCGGUCACCGAGGCCAAGAUCCGGUGAUUCUUCCCCGAACUCCUUCAAGAUGGCUAAUCUCUUCAAGUCUCCAACAAGAACACCUGGCUUCUUCACAAACCCUGUGGCUUUCAUCGUUUUGGGAUUCACUUCGAUCUCUGUUCCCAAAACUUUAUCUCCUCCCAAGUAAUCCUUAACGAAAGCCUCAACCAUCACUAUCGGAUUAGCAGUCACCACCACUUUCCUCUUGCAUUUAUCAAACACCUCGAAACUGUCCUUCCUCACAUCCGCCGCGUAGAACCGUGGAAGAACGGCGCGAGAGACGAGCUCGAUGUCGCGGAUUUUGAUGCCGGCGAAGGAGAUGUAGAUGAGGAUUUGGAUGCCGAGAGCUUCGGAGACGAAGAGGUAAGCGAUGAUGACGAUCGGGAGAGAUAGAAGGAGGAUCAAUCCACGGAAGAGGCUGCCUGCUUCUAUGGCGACGAGCAUGAAAUAAGGGAAGGAGCUUCGAGAGAGGAGCAUAGUCCCGUCGAGAUCUGCAGCGAUAGAAUCAUACUCUCCACUUUUACACUCGCUUAUCGGAGGAAAGCUUCUGCUCUUCUUCUUCGCCGGAGACAUCACUCUUUGAUGGUAAACAGAGAGGAUAGAGAGAGAGAGAGAGCGCUUCUUUUUGUUGUUAAUCUUGGAAAGAAAGAGAGGGAAGGGGUUCUUUCUUGUUUUAAAUGCACUGCAUUCCUUGCCGAUUUAUAUUAUCAUUCCUAUCCAAUAUAUGACAUAUUUACUAAUUUAUCCUUAAACUAUCUUUUCUAAACAAUUAUAACCCUUAUUCUUUCUCACUUUGUCAUCAUUCUCACGAAAAUAUAUAAAUUCCGCAUCACAAGAGUCAUAACAAAGUUUUGGACUAGAGUCAUCAAUCUUUUUUUGUUAUACUAUUACAUUUUAUGUCAUAAUUCAAUAUGUGAUUAAUUUUACUACAAAAAAAAAGGUUUGCAUUAGUAUGUAAAUAUAAUGAAAACUGGUGAAUAUUAUCUAUCAAUCGUGGAUCAAUAUGUGUAAUAAAUACUAUAGUUUAGGUCACGCGGUUCUCUUAGGAGUUAGGAGGACUAAAAGAAAAGCCUUAUUUAUUUUUUGUUGAUCGACAUGAAAGCAAGUAGCUUAGCAGCUCACCUACAUAGAAGGCCGUCUCAUUAGUUGAGUGACUCAUUAAUAUACUUGGCUAUGUAUAGCUUUACCAAUUAAUGUCUAUACAGCUGUGUAUCCAACUAUGUAGAUGAAAAUAACUGAUUAUAAUACAUUUUGGAUACAUACAUAUAUUGAUAGAAAGGUAUAGUUUUAAAUAAGUCAAAAUCUAGAUUAUGAGCAUGUCGACUAACCAUAUUUUGACUCUUUAGUGAGCUCGAGUCAUCUGCUAAUUUCAUCAUAAUUACAAACGUCUUGUUUUCUUGUAUAAAGGUCAAUGAUAUAUUAAUAAAAUGGUAGAUAGUUGGGAGUGGGACAGCCCUUGAAUAGUUGAAUGUAUUCAAACUUACUGAUAUAUAUAUAUAUUUUUUUUUUUUGAAAGAAUUUUAAAUUUAUUCAUCUCAAAAAAACUUUUGUACAGAGAACUGCUAUGUUUCUUUAAUAAACAGAAAAUUCAAACUUUACUCCUAUACUUAUUCUCUUCCAAACCAAACCUCCAUUGCCUUUUCAUACUUAGCUUCAUUCUUCUUUCUAAGGGAAGUUACUCUGUUUCUCACCAGCUUAUCCAUUCUUACUGAUAUAUAUCAUAUAUGCUGUUUGUAACAAUUUAUGGAUAUGUAUUAGUAUAUAUGAAUAAUUACACAUGAUGUGUUAAUAUUGAAGCAGCAACCCACCACGUGAACCUUGAAAGGAAAAAUAGACUUAAACGUAUAUAUGCGCUUGAAAAUUCACAGAAAAGUGAAUACUAAAAAGCUAUGGUAUGAAUUAUGAUGAUGAUGCGGUAGGUAAUCCACUUUGAUGUUUACCUUGUAGAAUAAAAUGGAGUUGGAAAAUUAAGAAUGCUUUACUUCCUCAGCUUCGGUUUGUUUGGCCAUCCAUCGAAACAAACAAUGACUCUCUUGACUUGCUUUCUUGAGAAAAGCCAUUUGGUCAAAUAUUGUUAAUUGUAAUGGUUCUAUGUCCCCAUGGUCAUGGUUCAGAAUAUAAUCAGUGUUAUGGUCCAAAUGAAACAUAUUUUCGAAAAUGGGUAUAGUAGCUAGCAGUUAAAGAAACUACCUUAUAAAUUAUUGAGCCCAAAAGAGGUCCAAUAAAAAAGCCUUAUCAUAAAUGGGCUAAACCCAAACCGAAGCUAAACCAUAAUAUUUACUCUCUUUUGGUGUCUUUGUUAGAUUGAAACCAAAAUCAAAGCAGACAGACCAAAUUUUAUGUCUGAAAACAUGGGGGACUCAAAUCAGAACUACGAAACCAAGCAAAUGUCAGAAGACUUGCAUUAACAAUUAAUUUAAAGCAGAUAAAUCCACAGCUAAAUAAAAUAGAGAAGCAAAACAAAUCGAUGAAACAAACAGAGAUCACCAAAUCACAAAUAUUUUCAGGCUCUGGGAAACAAAACCAAAAAAAGAAGAUAAAGCGACAAGAGUAAUCUUAAAAGAAACAAAGGAAAUCUCAGGAUCUGGUCUUGAAAGGAAUGGCUCGGAUGACAAGCUGGUGGUAGAGAGCCGCAAGAGCUGCUCCGAUGAAUGGUCCCACCCAGAAUAUCCACUGCAUGCAAGCAACACAAAACACCCACCAAAAUCAAUAAUCACUACUAACCAAGAAGGAAAAUAAAUGAUCUAAAGUAAGUUGUAUAGUGUCGAGGGAGGGACUCACGUGGUCAUCCCAAGAGUGGUCCUUGUUGUAGAUGAUUGCAGCUCCUAGACUCCGAGCUGGGUUAAUACCGGUCCCGGUGAUCGGAAUCGUCGCCAAGUGAACCAAAAACACAGCGAAUCCGAUCGGGAGUGGAGCCAAAAUCUGCAAAGUUUAAGAGUUAAUACACCAACAUUAAAAAUUUAAAACACAAACAUUUAGUCUCUCGAACUUACCGGAACGUGGGAGUCACGCGCGCUUCUCUUGGCGUCGGUGGCGGAGAAGACGGUGUAGACAAGGACGAAGGUUCCGAUGAUCUCCGCUCCGAGGCCGGAUCCUUUGGAGUAGCCGGGAGCGACGGUGUUGGCUCCGCCGCCGAGGGUUUGGUAGGGAGUAGGCUGGAAGCCUUUGACAACACCGGCGCCGCAGACGGCACCGAGGCAUUGCAUGACGAUGUAGAGGACAGCUCUGGUCAGUGAAAGUUUCCGAGCUAAGAACAGACCGAAAGUCACCGCUGGGUUUAUGUGUCCACCAGAGAUUCCGGCAGUGCAGUAGACGAGGGCAAAGAUCAUGCCACCGAAAGCCCAAGCUAUGCCUUGGAUUCCAACGGAGGCACACAUGUUUGGUGCUCUCUUCACUCCCAUCACUGUCAAUACUGUGAUGUAAAGGAAGAGGAAGGUAGCUAUGAACUCUGCUAUACCGGCUCUCCAGAACGACCACGAGCUCAGCUCCCCUGGCUCGAACAGCGGCGCUGGUGGUGGCUCCUUGUAGUCCUUGUCCGUCUGAGCCGAUGUCCCGAUGGGCUGCCUCUCUGGGAACUUGUUCGCUCCCACUCUCACAUCCUCUUCUUUCCCUUCCAUUUUUUCUCUUUUCCCUCUCUUUCUAGAAGAACGUUAAAGUUAUGCGAUGGAUAGUGAGUGAAUGGCUGAGAAGGAGAGAAAGGGUGUGGUUUUAUAAAGAAGAGAGAGAAGACGGCCUAACGUCUCGAAAACACUAAUUUCUUCUUCUUCUUUUUCUUUUCUUUUUUUCUUUUAGUGAAAGAAGAAACAUACAGGGAAUCAUUCCUGGAUAACGAUGAUCUUUAAACUGUUUUUAAUUCACGACAUUAGCUGUUGUGAUAGGGACAUUAUGGCUUUUAAUCAUGUAACAAAACCCCACGCUACUGUUUUUAUAUUCUGAAACUCCAAAACACCACUAGCAUGUUUUGUGAGCUGAUUUAUCAUUUUUUUCUAACUUAUAAUGACCGGCAAUUGUUAAUUCAUUUUUGUAAUGAACCGAAGCAGCUUAAGCAACCCUUUAAGCUACCUGGUUAAAGGUGCUCUUAGUUUCGUGAAUCGUAAUUGUGAAGCACAACUUAACUAUUAUAGUAUUAUCGUAUAGGUUAAAUUAUAAGCAAUCAUGCAGACGAUUGGUCCUCUGAGCUGUCUUUAUUUCUUGAUGGUUUUACCAACGAAGAAAGCGGGACCUAAUUUAUCUUCUCUUACAGACCUAAGCUCACUGUUAAAAUGUAAAAUGUUUUGGCAGAAAUAAGCUGUAAAAGUGGAAUAGUAACUUUUGACUAGCACGACGAUAUAAAAUUUACUUCCGACCGUUGGAGAAAGAAAGGGAAGAUUUGUGUGGAAGGAAAGUGACUGCUUUAUGUAGAAAGCACAGUCGUCUGGACUAUUGUGCCAGGCCUCGAAUAAAGUUUAGCCAGGUAUUAUUACCUGUACUAACGACAAAAUAAUAUAAUUUGUAAAUCAGAUGUUCUUUUAUUCAAAGCUCAUUAGUAGAUUAAAGGUCCUAGGGAAUGAAGAAAGAAAAAGGGUAGUAAGAAAAUUAAAGGGGUAGUGAGAAUAAAAUGUUAGGAAGUAGGGCAUUUUAGAUUAUUUUUUUGGUUAAUAAAAAAAAUAGAAGGGACAGAAGAAAGAGAAGAGGUAGUGAAAAAAUUAAGGGGUAUUGAAAAUAAAAUGUUAAGAAAUAGGAUGUUUUAGAUUAAUUUUUUGGUUAAUAGAAAGAAGAAAUAGAGUUAAUUAGUUAGGAAAAAGGAAGUGGGAUCCAGACAAGAGUAGUGCAAAAAUUAAGGGGUAGUGAGAAUAAAUUGUUAGGAAGUAGGGUGUUUUAGAUUAGUUUUUUGGUUAAUAUAAAAAAAAGAAGAGUUAAUUAGUUUUCCUAUUUAAAGAGGUAGAGAGCACAUAUGUAAAGAUUGAACAGCUCAGAAAUGUAUUUUGCUUUUCUGUGAUCACAUGAUGCUUCUCUACUCCCACUUUCUUUCUUUAUCUCUUUUUUGUUAAAGUUCUUUAUUUUUCGCUUCUCAGUCCUUUUUUGUUUGUUUGUUUGUCAACUGUUACUGAUUUAUAUAGUAAUAACUAGGGUCGGCCCGCCCUACGGGCGGGACUUUUAUUAUACUUUUUAAUAUUUGUUUAAAUUUUUAAAUGUUUAGUUUAAUAAUAUAUAUUAAUCAUUAAUAUUAUUUAUGUAGUUUUUGUGUUAAUAUUCAGCUUCCCUUUUUUUCUUGACUAACUUUUUUUAGGUUUCUUGAAAUUGUAUAAAUGAAACUAUAUUUUAUUUUUCUUACAUCGAUGCAUAUUUCUAAUAUAUUUUAAAAGUCUUUACGAUUUUAAAUAUAACUAAUAACUUUUCAUUAUGUUAACAAUUUUGAAUAUAACUAAUAAUUUAUAAAUACAAAAUAUUUUAAUUUCUCUUAAAAAUAAUAAUUAUGCUAUAAAAAUAUAUCUUUAUUUAUUAUAAUAAUGUAUAAAUAAUUUUAAAAUUUAUUUAUUAUUUACUUUUGUUAUUUUUAUUUAAAAAUAUAUGUUUACCUAAAUAAAAACAUUUUAUUAUGUCAUUAUUUUACAUUUUUCAAUACUGGUAGUGAGAUUUAACAUAUGAGUUUUUUUUUUAUGUUUUAUAUAUUAAUAUUUAUUUUAUUUCUUACUCUCUUUGAAAUCUAUUUCUAAUUAUGUAAAACAGUAAACUUUACCUAGUAUGGAUCCAAUCGGACUACUUGACCGGUUCAUGGUUGUACCAACUAUAAACGUUCUAGGAUCGAUCCGCGCUUAGCACAUAAUAUAACUUACGUAUGAUUUGUAUGACAAUUUUAUUGUGUAUUUUGAUUGCAUGUGUUUUGUGUCAGCAUUUGCAACAGAAAUGUAUUAGAAUGUUUAUAGUUGUUAAGAAUCUUUAGGUGUGGAGAGAUUAUGUAGAUUAAAUUUAUUACAUUUUAUUUUAAUGUUUGUGUUUAGAAGUCGUUGCGUAUAAUAUAUUAUUUUUGUGGAUAUAUUGUGUUACAUAUAUUUUUCAAAUUAAAAUACAACUAUUUUAAUCGAAUUUAACCAAAUCGAACUAAUUGUAUUCAUUGUAUUAGUGUGAGUAUUCAUCUUAAAUGUGUAAGUACACAUUUGAUUUUAAAAACAAUUUGGUAUAUGUUAAUUUGUAAAACUAAAAUUAGAAUAAAAAAAGAUGAUCGGUACAAAGUAGCAUAAAAACAUAAUUGAUAAAAAAAAUUAUUAUUUAUUUACUUUAACGCCAAGAUUAUUUUCUUAAUUUUUUUACGAAAUCACAUUAAUAUAUAAAAGUAUUUAUGUUAAAUUUUAUGAAUUAUUUUAUUAUAAAAUUGACUUCAAAAAUAUAAAAAGGAAACUUAAGUAGAAAAAAAUAAUAUUGAUUAUUCAUUGAAUAUUAUUUUCUGUUAUUUAAACUAUUUUCUAAUAAUUAUAAAAAAAAGAUUUUAAAAUAAAAUGUUUAUUACUUUAAAAUAUAUUAUUUUUAGAUUAUUUUCUUAAAUGGAAGAUUAUUAAUUUAAUUUAAAAUAAAAUAUUAUUUUGUAAAUUUUCCUUUUUAUGAAUCAUAUUAUAUUUAAAAUAUAUUUUCGUUUUAAAACAUUAUAAAUGUUAUUUAUUAUAUAAAGAAUUGGAAACAAAAAUAAAAAGGAAAAACAAAAUAUUUUUAAUAAAGCAAUUAGAUAUAUUUAACUCAUUAAGAGUACCACUGUAAUCAACCAUCGUGAGAGUUAACGUAAGCGCGACACAUAUGAAACAAAAUUUUCAAAUAAUAUUAUAGAGAUAUUAUACAAAAGAGGAAAGUAUCUAGGCAAUUUAGGCUUGUUGGAGUUGGAGUUUUCAAAAAAAAAAAAAANNNNNNNNNNNNNNNNNNNNNNNNNNNNNNNNNNNNNNNNNNNNNNNNNNNNNNNNNNNNNNNNNNNNNNNNNNNNNNNNNNNNNNNNNNNNNNNNNNNNNNNNNNNNNNNNNNNNNNNNNNNNNNNNNNNNNNNNNNNNNNNNNNNNNNNNNNNNNNNNNNNNNNNNNNNNNNNNNNNNNNNNNNNNNNNNNNNNNNNNNNNNNNNNNNNNNNNNNNNNNNNNNNNNNNNNNNNNNNNNNNNNNNNNNNNNNNNNNNNNNNNNNNNNNNNNNNNNNNNNNNNNNNNNNNNNNNNNNNNNNNNNNNNNNNNNNNNNNNNNNNNNNNNNNNNNNNNNNNNNNNNNNNNNNNNNNNNNNNNNNNNNNNNNNNNNNNNNNNNNNNNNNNNNNNNNNNNNNNNNNNNNNNNNNNNNNNNNNNNNNNNNNNNNNNNNNNNNNNNNNNNNNNNNNNNNNNNNNNNNNNNNNNNNNNNNNNNNNNNNNNNNNNNNNNNNNNNNNNNNNNNNNNNNNNNNNNNNNNNNNNNNNNNNNNNNNNNNNNNNNNNNNNNNNNNNNNNNNNNNNNNNNNNNNNNNNNNNNNNNNNNNNNNNNNNNNNNNNNNNNNNNNNNNNNNNNNNNNNNNNNNNNNNNNNNNNNNNNNNNNNNNNNNNNNNNNNNNNNNNNNNNNNNNNNNNNNNNNNNNNNNNNNNNNNNNNNNNNNNNNNNNNNNNNNNNNNNNNNNNNNNNNNNNNNNNNNNNNNNNNNNNNNNNNNNNNNNNNNNNNNNNNNNNNNNNNNNNNNNNNNNNNNNNNNNNNNNNNNNNNNNNNNNNNNNNNNNNNNNNNNNNNNNNNNNNNNNNNNNNNNNNNNNNNNNNNNNNNNNNNNNNNNNNNNNNNNNNNNNNNNNNNNNNNNNNNNNNNNNNNNNNNNNNNNNNNNNNNNNNNNNNNNNNNNNNNNNNNNNNNNNNNNNNNNNNNNNNNNNNNNNNNNNNNNNNNNNAACAAAAAAAAAUGGUCUAACCAAAAACUUAACUCCAGAAUCCUAGUAAAGUCCUAAACUGAUUGGAGGUGGCAGAUGAUUGAUGGUGAUAGAGACGGUGUUUGCAUCGUCAAUAUCCAAUGCUUGUUUAUGGCUGUAUCUCUUCUUCUCCUUAGGACUAUUUGACUUGAAAACAAAAGAUGCAAAUUAGUAACUACUUUCUGAUACAAAGGAUUGAAAAUUUUCAAAGUAAAAGUAACGUACUAUUCUUGAAAGAUGUUCAUAGCUUACUUGGAGACUGCAGAAAGCAAUUUGAUGAUGAAUAUGAGGGGGGAACCAACCAAUCAAAGUAUGUUGAGUUGGAUACUGCAAGAAACAACAACAAAAAAAACACAUGAAUGUGAGGGAGAAAAAACACAGCUUUAGGAACAAACUUGAAGCGUUAAACAUAAAUCAAGGUAACACUCACCUUUCCAAUUAACGUUGGGCCAAUGAACUACGAAUCCAGAAAAAAUAUAAUACGAUUACAGAUCUUGAAAAAUUAUGAUACCUACAAAGUCAGGUCUGUUCAUCUUCUGAUUCAUCACCUCUCUUCAGCCUAGAAAGAAACACAUGCCUUAACCGAACCGGAUCCUCCACAUCAUCAAUCGCCGCUGCAAGACACAACGCCACUAUGAUCUGUGCAUUGAGAAGAGAUCGCUGACACAACCGCAAUGCAAACUGAGCGGUGGGUCAGAUUCGAGUAUCAAUGAGUCGUGAGAGUACUAAAGUGUAGGUAACGCGAUACGUACCGGUGAGAUCUUUUUAUAGCAGAGGAGCAGCGCAGGAGGAAGCUUCGCAGUGGUGAUUUAAGACGAUUUAAGUCCAUUAAUUAUCGAAGAACCGUUACAGAAGAUGGAGCGCAGCUGCGCCGAUCGAAGGAGAGCGGAGAUCACGAAGGCGAGCGUAGAGGAUGAUUAGGGUUCUACCAGGAGGAGAUUGUGGUAGUCGGGCCGCGUACGGACAUAGCAUGAAGCCCAAAUGCCAAGCCCGUAACAACCGGAUCACACUUAAAUGAUACGCUGCGGAUCUGACGUGUCAGCGCGAGAGAGACUCUAUUUCCGACGUGGCAUCCGACGUGGAGCCCUCAGGAGAGAUACAAUGCUUUCUUUAUAUAUAUAGAUAGCUACAGCCUGUUGUUCAAAAAGAAAAAAACUACAGCCUUUAGCAUUAUUAAACAUCAUACAAAUCAUUGGUUGAUGAAUUUCAGUUUAACUAAAAUGAUUCGUGUAGCUGUAUUCAGUUGGUGUACAUGCAAUCAUCAAUCAGAAGACACAAAUAUGUUUGCAACGAAGCGUAUCCGUUUAUGGAGUAAGUAAAUCAUUUGUGUAGCUGUACUCAGUUGGUACACGCGAGAUUACAAGACAAAAAUAUACGAUGCACGUUUAAAUAAGUCACACAUCCGACACAAGCUUAUGUGGCUAUGAGCAUGCCUAUUUUGGGCCAAACAAGCGUUGAGAUAAAUGAACGUGAGCCCAUUUAAGGCCCAAAGGUUGUGACUUGUGAGUUAUGAGUGGAGAGAUGGUCGUCUUGGUCUGCUACCUUUGUGAAAUGAAAAAGUGUACUUGAACAAGUCAAAUAAAUGAGCGUAGAGAGUAGGUAGGUGCGCCGUUGACAAGGAGAGGAACCCAACUGUAUUGAAUGUUACUUUUUCCCCGCUCCCGUCGAGCUGUCUUCAUUUGCAAUCUCUUUCUUUCUUUCUAACUCUCUCCCCCCUCCCCUAAUCUCGAGAUCUGUCUCCCAGAGAUACGGAAUGGAAAAGAAAGAGACCAAGCAACAUGUAGUAGCAGAAGCUGAGCAAGAGAAUGGGACGUUGAUAGAAGAUGAGAUCGAGAGGAGCAAAGUCGGCAUCAUGAGAGCUCUUUGCGACCGACAAGAUCCUUCCACUAAGGUCCCGUAUAUGUUUCCUUCUUCUUUUCAAAUCUCAUCUUUUAUUUGUUUGUACUUCUUAAAAAUGAAAGAAAGAUAAAAAAGUCACUUUAGCUGUGACUAAAACUUGAGUUGACUUGUUCAAAAAGGAAAUAAAAAAGUAAUUAGGAGAACUCGAAGUAGAAGACUGACUCCUGUGCAUAGAGCAAAAUGUAGUAACUUACAGAAACUAGUUUUGUGGUUACAUCCUUGUAAUGAAUACAGGAAGUGGAUGACCUGAUGAUCAGGCGGUUUCUGCGGGCGCGUGACAUGGACAUUGAAAAGGCUUCAACAUCAAGUACCUGGCUUGGAAAAAAACUGUUCUCCCAAAGGGGCACAUACCUGAAUCAGAGAUCGCCAAUGAUCUGUCGCACAAUAAAGUGUGUAUGCAGGGACAUGACAAAAUGGGUCGUCCUAUCGUUGUUGCCUUUGGGAACAGACAUAACCCUUCCAAAGGCAACCCUGAGGAGUUCAAGCGUGAGUUACUUACGACCCACACCACUUUCCCUCUUUCAAGCACCAAAAUCUUUCUUUGCAUAUUAAUCAUCCUUACCUCUCUUAUUUUUUUUCUGUUAACUUCUCCGGCAGGUUUUGUAGUCUACACGCUGGAGAAGAUAUGUGCAAGGUUUGUUAUCAUUAUUAUUAUACAAUCUUUUCAAGUUGUUAGCUAUUAAACCAAAAUUACUUAAUUUUUUUUUGUUUUCAUCAAAUUAAAGAAUGCCAAGAGGUGAAGAAAAGUUCACAGCCAUAGGAGAUCUGCAAGGGUGGGGAUAUUCUAACUGUGACAUCCGCGGCUACCUUGCUGCUCUUUCCAUUUUGCAGGUAACCCCCACAAUCCUUUUCAUCUCCUACGAGAAACACUCUUUAAAUUGAUAAACCUUGUUGUGUUUAACAGGAUUGCUACCCAGAGAGACUAGGGAAACUCUAUAUAGUGCAUGCCCCCUACAUUUUCAUGACCGCAUGGAAGGUCGUUUACCCCUUCAUCGACACCAACACCAAGAAAAAGGUUAGUAGUAUAUUUAGCUCAGGGCACACCCAUCUCCUCCUAUUUAGUCUCUGUGGUUUGUUUUUGAAAUUACUAUUAUUUGUGUGUUGGGGCAGAUUGUUUUCGUGGAGAACAAGAAACUCACGGCAACUCUGCUUGAAGACAUUGACGAAACCCAACUUCCAGACAUCUACGGUGGCAAGAUGCCACUUACUCCUAUCCAGGACUCCUAAUGUUGGAUGCUGUUACUUGCUUCAAGCCGCAGCUACUCUUAUCUCCAAACUAUUACCCUAUUAUUCUUUGUAUUUUGAGUUAGAACUAAAAAAAAACUUAUCGAGUAUUUGCCAAUUUUAUAGUUAGUUAUAUAUAUAUAUAUAUAUUGAUAUUUUUAAUUUCUUGUUAUUUCAUCAUAUCUACUUGUGGAUUUGGCCCUUAUUGGCUCUUCCCUGCCACUCUGACAGACUAAUAUAAUAUGUUUUAACAAUUGUAUCUUAAUCAAUGCAAGAUAUAUAUAACAGAUUUUAGUUAAAUUCACAAUACUAGUAGAUAUUGUAUAUGUAUCAACCAACACCUUGAAAUAAAUCCCUAAAACAAAGUCUUUCCAAAUUUAAUAAGAAGAAGAAGAAGGCAUCAUCAUUCAUCAAUCACCUUUGGCAAGUGAGACAUUAGGCAAGUAGCUGUUUAUUGUUCAUCAAUCAGUAGAUGCGAGAGUGAGGGCGAUGAUUACAAGAAGCAGAUCUGCUGUCUUUGGAUUGAGCUUUGAUCUCUCUUAGAAAAGCUCUGGUGAUCUCAACGCCAAGAUUGGGGUUCCUCUGCACAAAAGUCUCGUAUUUCAUGGGAACAACCACAUCUUCCAUAUGCUUGACCACAAGGUUGAUGGCAGCGGCUUUCAAGAUGGUGUCAGAAGGGAUGCUGGCGAGCUCCAGGAUGUCAAGGACGUUCCUAGAGGUGAGAGAUGCAAUGAAAUGGUCGCGGCAAACGUCUUGGAGAUAAGCGAUGUCGUAUUUGUCAGCAGCCAGAUAGAGGGCUCGGUACUGAUUGUAUGGAGCAAUUAAGUUGCCGGAGUAGAGGAACUCGAGAAGAGAAUGGAGCUCGUCGUGGUUCAAGUCGGGGAGAGUGAUCGAUUCCUCAGCAGAGGCCUUGCAUUCAUCGGAGUCUAGCAUGUUCCUGAAGACCUUAGAUCUUGACGACUGCCAAUAAUAAUGGGAUAAUGAAUAUUAAUAAAGCAGAUUGGAUCAUGUUAAGAAGGGGGAGGGAAGUUACGAGGAUGGCCUUGUGGGUCGGGAUGGGGGGAGAUUGAUCACCAGGAUGAACGAGAACAUCAGUGUGCAUUUGUUCCUUGAAUGAGACAACAAGUCCACCGAGGAAAGCCGCCUUUUGUGCUGCUGCUUCAGACAUUACUUACUUGCUUAUUCACACAAUUCAAAAGUGUGUCUUAUUAGUUGUAGAAAUGAGCUGAGAUAAAAUAGAGAUAUUCUAAACCUAAAAAGCACAAGCAUUGAUUGAUUGAAAGGCUUCACUAAAUCCCUAGAGUUAACAAAGUUCAACACUUUAAAAAAAAAAAACAAUCUAUGAUCACAAAAGGAGAGGAUUCAAUCAAGCCCAUCAAUCGAUCCUUCCUCGAAAUAAAUUAUAAACAUCCCCUUUCACUAGUCUUUGGAAAAUGACGAAUGGAUUCGAAAUUCGAAUAGGGAGGGAUCUUACCACACAGACAAACAGACAGAGUAGGCAGAUCGUCGUCUGCGCUUCUCUUUAUACUUUUUCCUUCUUCACUCAAACACACACAAAAAUGUAUGUUUUUUUCUUCGCACUUGUUCAGUACUACGAUGAUCCCAGAGAGAGAGAGAGACUCUUUUGCUUUUAUAAAGUAAGUAGCGAGAGAGAAACUAUUUCUCUUGACUUGAUACGAUGACUUAUAAUGUAUGUCCUACCAUUUACAUUGUUACAACUUGGGAGUUAAAAGCAAAGCAAAAUAUACAAAGCUAUUAUUCGAUUGUUAAUCUAUAUAUCUAAAGUAUAUAUACUAUUUUUAUGAAAUGAAUUAACAUUCAUUCACAAAGUAAUAAACCCAGUAGUGCGAUUCUAAAGGGAUUUGAUAAGAUUAUUAUAUACUGACUAAUUAACAAGUAUAAAGCAUACGUUCAUCUACAAAAGUAUCAUAACUGAAAUGAAAGAUUAGAAAUUUUAUUGAAUAACUGAGUAAGGUGAGUUCCCUCCGGGCCGGGGCCGACCAGUCACAGAUCAAACUUCUUCUGACCCAUUGCAAUUUGGGUCUAAUGUGGGCAUUCACACCUCUCCAAUUCAGAGUCUGUAUGAGUACAACCUUCACCAUUUAUCAAUAGCACUACCAAAUUUCUCCUUUUUUUGGUCGGCUAAACAUAUGAAAUGUUGUUAAAUUGUGUGUUAACUAGGGAAGUAUCUUAUUUUCUUGUUUCUGAAUUUUUUUUCUUUUUUUGUUUCUUUUGAAUAUUUUCAAGAUAAAGCAAGUUCUAGAAAGAAAAAAAUUAACUAUUUAGUAAAGUAAAGAUAGAAAACCUCAACCAGUCUGUUCUUUGUCUCCUUGAAUACAAGCAGACGUAAGAAAGUAAAAGAGGGGGGAGGGAGUUAAAAAGAAAAGAGUAAACGAGAAAGGUUGUGUAGGGGUCUUGUUUGCUUCUGUAAGAGGUGCGGUAAAGUGAUACAUAUAUAGACCUAACAAGUGGUGUGCGUCUAUUAACAAUAAAAAAAAAACUACAGACUCAUCUCAUUGGGGUCUUUUCUAAGAUUGAGGUUGAAGGCGAACGUGAGGACAUGGCCUCUCUGGUUCCCCUGUUGUCCAUAGGGUCUCCAGGUCACCUCUCUUGUGACCUAACACUAUCAAAGUACCUGACACAAAAACCCAUUCUCUUAGAUUCAUAGCUUAGCUUUUUGGUUUCUUUCCAAAAUUGAGGACUCUUACCAAGUAUGAAUGGAACAAUGUAAAGCAAAGCUGGUUGCCCGUGUCCAUCCAUCAAGUUUAGUGCAAUAUAUGUUAUGAGUAGACCUGUGAUAUAAUAAUAAGAGACCUUAAUAAGUUAGAUUCUCUGCAAAAUUUCUUGCUUUUUGCUUCUUCCCUACAUGAGGGUGAGGAUCAUACCUAGACCAUAAGCAGACAUUGCCCCAAGGAAGUAUCCUGACUUGAGCUUCUUGUUUGCCAGCCAGUCGUAUCUGCAAUGUUAACACUAUCUCAGAACAGCUCCUUCGGCUCAUAACACUUAGCCUAGAUCCCCUUGGGACAGUUGAUAAUUCAAACUUGUCUAUUAAGCCUAUUUACUUUACUAUAUUUUGUUAGUUAUAUAUUUGGUUUUACGAUGGAUGCUCUGACCCACUUCAGGUGCAACAAUUGCACGUUUCAGUGACAGUUAUAUUUAUAUUCUUCAACAAACUCAAAACCACAGUGAAGACAGAAAAACAUUACAUGAGGGUGUUUCUUUUAAGAGCAAUUUUUCCCCAGGUUCAGGCAAAUUCAUUCCAUUAAGCUUAUUGUAUGCUUCUAAUCCCAAGUUUAGUUGACAUGUUCAUAUAGUAAUAAAGUGAAGAGAUGAUGGAGAGAGGAUUGUAGUAGUGCAAACCUGAGUGCAAAAGUUACAAGAAGUCCAGGUAAGAUGAUAUCGCCAAAACCGAUGAUACUGUAGCCACCCCAAGGAUCAAACAUACGUGGGAUCUUUAGUAGCAUUGGGAUGCCGUCCUCUCCGCUUUUGUCUCCACGGGCUACCUGUAUGUUGGUAAAAACAAUAUCAAAAAACAUCAGUGUUGGAGCAGACAGAGAAGUAUGUGUUGUUGAACAUCAUCUUGCAUGAAUGAAAAGGAAAAAAACUUACCACAAUCAUCACACUUUCACGGAACCACCAUUUUGAAACAAAAACCCAGAAGAUAUCAUACAUGAAGGCACAGCUGAGAAGAACAACUCCAACCUGUUAACAAUGACCUAAUACCGUUAUUAGAGAUGGGUCUUCUAUACCAGCAUCAAGGAAAUUUUCAGUCUGCAACUGAUUGAUUUAGAUUGUUCAAUUUUCAACAUUUUUAAAGCUUUGUUUAUUAGGUGCCAAGUUCUUAAGCACAUAGUUCGAAUAUAUACACUGGAAAAGAAAUGGUUCGAAACAGGAAGCUGGUAUUAGAUGGCUACAGAAGCCACAAUGCGAUAUUUGGUUCCUCAUCCAGAAAGAAAAUUGAUAUUACCUUAAGAUUUGGUACCCUGACGAUUUGAAGAACUGUUAUAAUCAGCGAGAUUCCCUGUUAGCAAGAUAAAUGCAACAUUAUCUCAUAAGCACCGAAUGUAUCCUCAUUAGACAAGAGGCAUUAUUAGCAUAUACCCACAUGGGACAGUUAAGAGAGAAAGGGGGUGCUUACAAGGAUAUCUUGCCCUAUCCAAGCAAACGAGUAUUGGCGGUAAACUGCCCAUAUAACAGCAGAUACUAUGCAAAACGGACAAAUGGCCAGAGUCAAAUAUGAGACUGCCCCCAGGAAUGGAACUUUGACAUAAAAUUCCCCAAUACUGCGGAACCAUCUGAAACUACAAUACAUGCAACCUCAGUUCCCAUUUUAUCCUUUUCACUUGUCCUGAAGGCGAAAUUAUAUGAAGAAACAUCAUGCAUACCAUGAGAGCAAAGCGACCAAACAGGUUUGCAGCCCCUGAUAGCACCAAACAAAACUUUGAAUCUCAAUAUCAGGAUGAAUUCAAUUUAGGUAACUGCUAUUUAAUUCAAAAUGGUGAUAGUAGUAACGUACCUCUACGCCACCUAUGCAAAAGAGGACCACCAACACUUCUAUAAACCAGAAUGACAUAAGCUUGUAGAGCAUGAUGAGGAAACAAGAAGCAACCACCACAAACAAAAUUGCUGAUAUCACGGUGAUCUCAACAACACCUCUUGAGCUGGUGGUUGAUACCUGCAACAGUUCAUCUGAUCCGUCCUGCAGUUCAUUAUUUAUAAUCAAUGCCUGAGAGAAACGGCGUCCAUUUUCCUUGGCAGCCAAAAGGUAAAAUUUUAAGAUAUAUACAUAUGCUAGUGAGCACCUUUAGCAGCUUGUCUUGCUCAAUGGCUUCUUCCCUAGCGGUCCAAGCAGACCAAUAAGAAGCACAAAGAAUGGUACCAACAGCCAUAAGCCAGAGAAAGACCUCAGCCACAUCAACUGCUGGACGUUUCGGCGAAUAUAGCUGCAAAGUAACUGAACAAAUACAGUCAUCAACAACAACAACACUGAUGAAAAAGUGACAAACAAGAAUAAGAUAUGGUACAAAGACAAUAAUCGCAGCUGGAAGAUUUUACCAGUGUCGUUAGCGUCAACGAAUUUUUGGAGACUUGAACCAGCAUCAAGAGGGAGCAUAACAACAGGAAUAUUGAUAUCUAAAACGUCUUCACCCUUCUCACAUACCAUCUUGAAAAGAUCUGCAAAAACAAGAUUCAACCCUUUAGCAAAAACUCAAAGAGGAUAACUAGAAGUCUUAUUUAUUUGGAAGACAAGCUUACCAGUGCUGUUGUUAAUGAUAAUGAUGGCAGAGGCACCAGCUGCUUCAGCUACCUUUGUUUUUGUGGUAAAACUGCAGUUACCACGGUGAACAAGAAUGACCUCUCCAGUAAGCUACCAACCCAAAAGAAAAGGAAUUAAAACCGGAAAUACACAAUACAAGAUAAAAAAAUUAGAGAUUGAAAGUGCUGAACCUUAAAUUUGGGAGUAGUGCAGCAGUCAGGAGGGUCAGCAACGGCGAGUCUGAUGAGGGUAGCAUGUUUCUCCUUAGACUCCAAGGUUGGACCGAACCUAGCACCAACACCAACAUACUCCUCUUUUUCUUUCCCAUUGACUCGAGUUGGGACUUUGACCUGGUCCGUGGCAUUGUAAUGUUGGUUAGAAGAUGAUAUUCAAACGUGACAGGGAAACUAAACUGGCUUAAUCGCCCGGAAAUAGCUAAGAGCAACAUAUGGAGAGAGUCAGAGCUCCACAAGAGCUUUAAUAUUCACGCACGCAAACCACAAUGAGACUCUAAAAACAAACAAUCUUACAGGUAGCCAGAUGCUAACGCUACCUCGCUGAACUUAGCUGUAAUGAAAACCCUUUUAAAAUUAGAAUCACAUCAAAUCUCAAAACCAAAGUCCCUCUCUAUCUGCUGCAACAACAAACAAUAGGGCGGGCAAGGCCAAACAAAAAUUAAGCAAUCAACAGAUUAAAUUCAGACAGCUUUAAGGAAAGUCCGAACCCUUCUAAUCUGAAACCCCGAGAGACAAGCAGAAAAGGAGCUAAAAUCCUUUAAGAAAAAAAAUCAAAGUAGAAAUUUUCUAACCAAGACGAAAUUGUUGUUGCAACCAGGUCGAUUAGGAAGAGAGUCAUCGUGGUGAACUAUGUCUCCACCAGAAACCAAACUAGCACUGUACACAUACAACCACCCCAAUACUAACAAGUAACCGCUGUAAGAUCUCCCCCACAUCAUACUUCACUUUUCAAAUUCCUCCUAUGCCUACCAAGGACCCGAAGAAGAAGAAAGAGGAAAGUUGGAGAAAAAAAAAUGGAGGAAGGUACAAGGAAUUAGAGAGAGAGAGAGAGAGAGAGAGAGAGAGAGAGAGAGAGAGGGAAAAGAAAAAAUCUCUCGUGGGAGGGGAAAGACGAUAAAGUGUCGUUUCAGAGAUAAGCAAGUGUAAAACGCAGACGUUUCUUCGUUCGUUUUGACUUUUUUCUAUUGCACUCUCUCACUGUUCGCGCGUGAUGCGCGUUUAAUUUAAGUUAAUUAUUUGUCCGUACAAUAUUUAUGUUAAAUGCUGAUGGCGAUUAGAAGUAAAUGGUUUAAUUUGUGGAAUAUAAAAAACAAAAGAACUGAUUUUCAUUAUAUUUUUAAUCACUCAUCCUAUCAAUAAUAUUAAUAAUGCAUUAUCUUAACUGAUAUGGAUCGAUGGUGCUUUUGUCUACUGUUCAUAUAAUUAAAAACAAAUUGUAACACGCUUUUUUGAAAUGUAACUCUAUUCAAUAAUUUUUUUGUUAGAUGAUGAACAUUUUACAUCGAAAUAAACAUCACUUUCACAAACCUUAACCAUAGUGUUGUAUAUCGUCAUUCAUUAAAGUAUUUAGCGUUAUCCAUAACUUUAGCAUAUACUUCUGAUCAGUACCAGCCUUAAGGGGAAGCCACAGAAGCAUUGGCUUCCGGCCUUCUAUAUUAUUAACAAAUAUCGGCUUUUAUUUCUCUAAACCAUCUUUAGUGUAGUGGUUUACUUAACAGUGUAUUGAGUAAGGGGUUUAGGUUCGAUUCAUGGUGGCAGCCUAUUUUUUCUUAUUUUGCUUCUAGCUUUGUGAAAGUCAAGACCGGUGCUGCUUCUGAUGACAUCACGCUAUCGAGGAUGUCAAGUUGAUAAAUGCUAUGAUAUUAAUAUAUUGGUGAUUUCGCGUUAAACUGAUUGUAUAUGUCAAAAGUGCUCUUACCCCAACAGAAACCAAAUAAAAACCCAUAUAUUGAGUAACAUUUUAAACUAAAAUACCGGUUUUCAAAAUAACGCAACUGAGCUAAACUGCAUGUGCGUGGAACAAGCUGCGCGUGGAAUACAUCAAAUCUAUCGAUCACCGGCUAGCAAAAUAUAUUAUCAAUUAUUAAUUAUUUUAAAAUUAAAUCCGUAUGAACCGUACCGACAAGACGGCAUGUUACAGUAAACCAUUAGAUAAUUGUAGUUCAAAAAAUCUUAUGUGGCCGAUCCCAUACUAAGGUCAGUGUAUAGCCAAUUAUACCGACCCACGUUUGGAACACAAGUGUUUGUCUGGUUUGUACACGCGUCGCGUUACUGUUCUAAAUUUCACGUGUGCAAAUUAAAGGACUCUUUGGCAUGUCGCGGGCGGACACUUGUUGGGCCAUGUUUAAUUGGUAAAAGGGACGUGUGAUGUUGGAAACGCCACUACAGAUUGUUUUUCUCGGACUGUUUUAUCAAAGAAUCAAACGGUUUCUAUUUUUUUUUUGUGAAUUCCACUCAUCAGCACAGCAAGCAACUUAGCUGCAAACAAAUAAUCAAGCUUCAGAUUUAAUACAUUCACAACACUAACCAAAGAUUCAUUUUAAGAGUUGCGUUGAAGCCACUCUUGAAUGGCGGAACGAAGGGCGUGGUUAGGAACAAGGUUAUUGUGGGUGAGCUUAAGGUUCGUCAUUGGUGAGGUCUCGUGACCAUUGUCGAGCCAUUCCUUUAAGGCUUCAGCUUCGUACGUGAAUCCAUCGGCUGCAACACGAGGCUCUCGCAUUACUUCCUGUAAAAACCAAGAAUCAAUCGAUCGUUCACUUCUAAACAUUUAAACUAUCUGCGGCCAAACGGGUCGAACAAAACCCAAAUUUGGCUAUAAAUCAAUCACAAGCAAUCAUUUUAGACCAAACCAAGCAGAAAUUUCUACACUGGUUCCGUUCUAAACCUCUUUGAGAGGAAAACUCCAGAUGAUAACAUAUGUGUAUUUAAGUCCUCUACCUAGAAGUAGACAUCUCAGGUUCGGUUCUGUUCAACGUACCUGCGAUAUUGGGCAGAUGAAAUACGACGGAGGCUGACGGGUAAGGGAAUCCUCAUCGGAGAAACCAGAAGGUAUUCCAUGGCGGCGAGUGUAGCUCUGAAGAAGCAACAUAAUAUCUGAACAGACAGAGCUAGCUGCGUCUUUCUCAGCAGCGACCUUGCUGAGUUCUUCCUCCGUUCCUUUUCUACGUCUUGCUUCUUCUUCGUAUAACCUCAUGAAGUUUUGUCCCACAGAGCAAGCUUCUUCUUUUUCCUUCCUCACUUUCUCAACCUCCUCUCUUCUUCUCUUCACUAACUCCUCUGUUUCUUUCCUCUGCCUCACCUGUUUUGUUUUGACAUGAUAGAUUAUCACUUUUUUAAUUCCUGAACUCAUCUUAAAGAUUUCAUUACCUCGUCUUCAUAUAGUUGCAUCAAGUUCUUGCUUAUCAAGCAGGCUUCUUCCUUCUCCUUCUUUGUCUUCUCAAGCUCUUCCUCUUGUCUCUUCACAGAUUCCUCCAUCUCUUUCCUCUGUCUCAGUUGCUCGUUGUACAGCUUCAUCCCUAUUUUCCAAUAUCAAUAGAUUAUUCAAAAUCACUCGUCUUAACAAAUAACAUAUUCCUUUCUGUUUCUGACAGUACCGUCCUGAACAAUGACCCGCACUUCUUCCAGCUCCUUCUUCGUUCUCUCGUGUUCUUCUUUCUCCUUCCCCAACAUCUCUUCAGCUUCAACUCUGCGUCUCACUUCCUCACUGUAUAGCUUUCUUCCGUUAAGAAUGAUGAUAAGCGCGUCGUCCCUCUCUUGUUUAGUCUUCUCCACCAUUUUCUUUUGUUUUGCCAAUGCCUCUUUACCUUCUUUCCUUAGCCUCGUUUCCUCAUUGAACAUUGCUUCAUACUCUCUUGCCUUUCAAGUAAAAUGAAACAAUUCUAAGCAAGAAAAAAGAAGAAGAACAUUCUCCAUGUCUUUAAAUUAUGGUAUUUUACUUUGCGGAUGGCCUCAACGGCUGUAUUUUCAGCUUUAAACCGCCUGACACAUUCUUCGUACGCUUCUCUUUUCGAUUCCUCAACUUCAAUAAGUGCUUGCUUAAGUUGUCUAUACAGUUGAUCAUUCCUGUCGCUUUCCUGCAAAAGGACAGAUAAAGCUUUCAGUCAUUUAGUAACAGACACAGAAGAAAGCACGAGAUAUAUAUUGGCUUAAUUCACAAUACAACCAACAAUAUUUAGAACCUACAGAUUGAUCCUCUGAUGAAGUUGGCUCUAACAUGUCCCUGUCUCUCCUUGUGUCAAUGUAAGCUACAAUUGCAGAGACCAAUUCUGCCGAGCAUUUUGGUGAAGCAGAUGAAUAGAGCUUCGGUUUCCAUUGUCCAGCUUCGGCUUCUGUUUCAUCCACACGGUCUUCAAGAUUGGCUUCCCUGAGUAUUUAAUAUACAUAAACAAUAAGGCGAUUUCUUCAAAGAUAGAACAUAAGCAAAGAGAGGUUUCAAAACUCACUUUGUGUAGAUGAGAUGUCCAUUGCACAUAAACGUAACUUCGCAGGAGCUAGGCGCGUGUUGGUAUACGUACUUGGCCUUUCUGGACUUGAGAUCGAACAUCUUCCUGUAAUUUUUUCCUGUUCAGUCAACACGAGUGAAUUUAAGAGAUUUUAAAAUAUAAUAGAUUUCCAAUAAGUACUCUGAAUAAUGAUGGUCUGAUGCAGCUCCCAUAACGAGCUUCUUGAUUUUGCUUUCAUGGAUGAGUUCUAAUAUCCCCUGCUUCACAUCGUUCAUCUCUAUACACGAUAUGUAAAUGUCGUCCUCAUUCACCUGCGAUCGGAGAACAAGAAUCAGGAGGAACACAACAAUUUCCUUCAGAGCAAGAAGAGAAGGACUUUAAUAAUAUAAGAAGGCAACGGAACAGAACAAUACCCCUUCUUGUUGACAGAUGUCAAAAUAAUCAUGUAAUGUCUCGUACAUGAUAGCCUCCAGUUCUUCAAGCUUACGUGCUGAAAUACAUCAACAGUAAAUACGCAAUUACAUAUGAAGCAUCGAAAAUGGGAACCAAAGAAGAUAACGAAAAUCACCAGCAGGAGAAGCAGUUUUUGGCUGAUAAACAUGGAGGAUGCAGACUUUCUUGGCACCAAGGUUCCUCAAAGCCCAAACCAGAGUUGAUCUGCUCUCUUUGACAUCGUUCUUCACAGCAACAUGGACAACAUCAUCUCCCAUGGCCAUGAGUUCCGCCAUUGAUGUCCUUUACCUUUGUCUUUGUGUUAUGUCUUCUUUUCACCUGUAAGGUGGAAAAAAACAAAGAAGCAUCUGACAGAAAGAGACCAACAAUGGUUAGUGGUGACCCUCAACAUUCUUUUUGUUGACCGUUUCAGUUUUCCUAAGGUGGACACAGUAAAGUCUACAGGUGGUAUUUAAAACACAAGUCAAUGCAUAACAACUACUGAAACAAAAACAAAAAAAAUCUCCAAGACUUUUCCCAGUGAAAAGAGACAAUUUUUUCUUAGAUUUUAAACGUUCCAUUCACUACUGAAUCACAACACAAUCAACAUAAUAUAUAUGUAUAUAUAUCUUUAAGGCAAAUCAAAGAAAUAAGGGUGCUGUUGCAACCACUCGUUAAUAGCAGAACGAAGAGCAAGAUUUGGUGUGAGGUUGUGAUUCUCAAGCCUCAGGUUUGUCAUCGGCGAUUUUUCACCUCCAUGACUGAGCCAGAUUUUGAACUCAUUUGCUUCAUAAGUGUAACCAUCAGCUGCAACAUGGGGAUUCUGCAUAAUCUCCUACAUUCACGAGCAAUUGGCAAUGAAUUAAAUAAGAGCAAAACAAAUAUCAAAAAUGGGAAGUUACUUUUGGACAUGUAUAGUGUAGCGUAUGUGUCAGCUUAGUACACUAUAGCUGAGAUAUUGAGCAGAAGCCAAGUCAAGAUCCCAACAAAAACAUGUUUUUCUAGAUAGAGGUUCGAGUCCUAACCUUUGAAAUGGGACAGAUGAAAUAUGGGGGAGGCUCGUUGGAAACAGACCACUGCGACGCGGAUGAAGGCGAAUCUGAUGAUGACUCACCCUUCUCCAUGUAUAGAUUUCUCAAAAGCUCUUCAGUUUUUUUGAUAGCUUCGUCUCGCUCUUUCUCGGCCAUAUCUAACCGACGGGGGCAAUCAAUAUAAAGCUGUUCUUCGAGUUCCUUUUGGACCCUCUUCAUGUCUUUGAUUUCUGCUCUCGCUCUGUUCAGCUCCUCCUCCGCUUCUCUCCUGCGACGUACUUCUUCACUGUACAGCAUCUGAGUGACACCAAAAGAACUUGAGAGUGCUUCCUCUCUUUCACGAUUCAUCUUAUCAUGUUGCUCCAGUUCUCUCUUUAGUUCCUCGAUUUCUAGUCUCCGUCUCUGCUCCUCGUAGUACGUCGCCGCAGACCCUCUAGCCUGUUUAGAAACCAUAUCAACUGAACAAAUGAGAUUCUUCUACAUUGGAAGAUAUAAAAACACCACCACAUGAGUCUCAUAUGGAAAACUUGACAUUAAAAAUCGCGUUUAAAGACAUGCAUGUGUUAUGUUCUACAGUAGCAGUUGCAAGAAAUGAGACAAAUUUGACUAACAAGAAGAUGUGUCGGAUCCUUGAAUUUACAAUAUAUCACAUUUUAUCAUUCCUUCUCCAUAGGUUUUAAGACUUUUAAGCGAAUCACAAGGUUUUUCCAAUUAAGAAAACACUCAACCACUUGAAUGAAAAGUUCUAGGUGCUGACUAAAUUGGAUUUUACGUACUGAUUGGUCUUCAGGUGAAGAAGACAGGGCAUGUGACUCGCUGUCAGGUUCAGCUCUUACUACGUCCUCGUAUGGUAUCAGAGCAGAAUCAAGGUCAUGAAGGCUGGCUAAGGAUUCAGAGGAGGAGUGCGAUGAACCCUCAAGAUCGAACCGUCCCUCCCUAUUGAAACAUACAACAAAAAUAUACCCAGUUAAACUUUACAAUUACUCAAAAACACGCAGAAGUAAAAAUCCUCCUCCUAACUUACCUCGUUUGGAUGAGGUUUCCAUUACAAACAAGCCAUAUUUUACAGCAAUGAGGCGCGUGGCUACUCACAUACUUGGCUUUUCUAGAUGUGAUAUUAACCAUUCCCCUGCAUCAUAUGACCAGAGUGAGAGCAUUUUCUUAUUUACUCAUUACGCAGAUUAUCGUACAAUAGAGAAAUUAUCAAUGUGGAGACACAUAAAC
rnacentral:lncRNA from 1 species